UACGUAGGGUGCGAGCGUUAAUCGGAAUUACUGGGCGUAAAGCGUGCGCAGGCGGCGCGUUAAGACAGGUGUGAAAGCCCCGAGCUUAACUUGGGAAUUGCGCUUGUGACUGGCGAGCUGGAGUGUGGCAGAGGGAGGUGGAAUUCCACGUGUAGCAGUGAAAUGCGUAGAGAUGUGGAGGAACACCAGUGGCGAAGGCGGCCACCUGGGCUGUACCUGACGCUCAAACACGAAAGCUAGGGGAGCGAACGGG
rnacentral:rRNA from 1 species